UACGGAGGGGGCUAGCGUUGUUCGGAAUUACUGGGCGUAAAGCGCACGUAGGCGGACCUACAAGUCGGGGGUGAAAUCCCGGGGCUCAACCCCGGAACUGCCUUCGAAACUGUGGGUCUGGAGGUCGAGAGAGGUGAGUGGAAUUCCGAGUGUAGAGGUGAAAUUCGUAGAUAUUCGGAGGAACACCAGUGGCGAAGGCGGCUCACUGGCUCGAUACUGACGCUGAGGUGCGAAAGCGUGGGGAGCAAACAGG
rnacentral:rRNA from 1 species